rnacentral:lncRNA from 10 species
AUGGGGAUGAGAUUUCAAUUGCUCCGGGACCGACGCAUCUCCUCACGCAGUUGAAGCCUUCACACAACCAAAGUGGUACCGGGGUGAAAACCAUUGACAGCCGGCCACAGGACCCAGGCAGAAACGCAGAAAGGGGCUCACCAAAGACAGGCUGCCAUGCGAGAAAUCGCUUUGUGCUGCACAGGGCACAUUCGUCCAAAGACACACUUGCACACGGGCACACACACACAAACCGACAGAGAGAGGGAAAGAAACACACAGAGACUGAGAGACAGAGAGAGAAGAGAGAAUGGGAGACACACACAAACAUACACAUACACACACACACAGAGUCAUACAGCAGUGGCACAGAAACACACACCCCCAGGCAACCCC